rnacentral:misc_RNA from 1 species
AACGCACAUUGCGCCCAUCAGUAUUCUGUUGGGCAUGCCUGUUCGAGCGUCAUUUCCACCCUCAAGCCCUGGCUGCUUGUUGUUGGGGUGCUCUACAGCCUGCUGUAGGCCCCGAAAAUUAGUGGCGGUCUCACUGGGAUCCCGAGCGUAGUAGAUUUCUCUCGCUUAGGGCGACCGGUGGGUUUCCAGCCGUUAAACCCCCCAAGUAUUAAAAGGUUGACCUCGGAUCAGGUAGGAAUACCCGCUGAACUUAA